rnacentral:rRNA from 1 species
UACGUAGGGUGCAAGCGUUGUCCGGAAUUAUUGGGCGUAAAGAGCUCGUAGGCGGUUUGUCGUGUCUGCUGUGAAAACUCGGGGCUUAACUCCGGGCCUGCAGUGGGUACGGGCAGACUAGAGUGCGGUAGGGGAGACUGGAAUUCCUGGUGUAGCGGUGAAAUGCGCAGAUAUCAGGAGGAACACCGGUGGCGAAGGCGGGUCUCUGGGCCGUAACUGACGCUGAGGAGCGAAAGCGUGGGGAGCGAACAGG